CUGCACCCCUCGGAGCACUUGGCUCAGGACAAGGGCUCCAUGUGUUGUUCCUUCGAUUCACUUGUAAAGUUAUUAGGGUUACCUGUACGAAGAGCUUCCCUGGUGGCUCAGCUGGUCCCUCUGGGAACCACGUCGUGGGAGCUAGGAGCCGAGGGAAGUCGCCCAAACUCCACUUCCCGACGCCCCCAAGCCGCGAGGUCCCUCGGGGGUCUGGGGGUGAACAAAGCGCCCCUGGCCAGGACUGCCCUGGCGGACCCGACGGCGGCGUGAGGGCGCCCGCAAGACGCCGGCCGGAGAACUUCUCAGCCGCCCGUGGCAGCUGAAGGCGCCCGGGGGGCGUGAGACGCCUGUGGCCGCUUCUGUCCGGACUCGGAAGACGGUUCAACGGCCGGAGCCCCGGGCGCAUCUCCCGUCCCCGCCCCACGCGACGCCAGCAGGUAGACCCCAGACCAGUUGGAACCAGAAGGCUGAUGAUGCUGACUCUGGAUUACCUCUCCACCAGCCAUUCAGAAGGAUGUCCACAAGCUGACCAUGCCCUGAUCCUUGAAUACCGUGAUUCCUCACUACCCCUUCUAGGGCAGGACACACAGUCUUGAGGGCAUUUGCCCGCUAUGACCCCCUUUGCCCGGCCAAGCAAUAAAGCUAUUUUUG